GGGCUUGAAUGUUCCCAAAACCGAAAGAUAUGGCCUCCCUUCGGGGCGGGUUCACAGGUGGUGCAUGGUCCUCGUCAGCUCGUGUCGUGAGAUGUUGGGUUGAGUCCCGCAACGAGCGCAACCCUCGCCCUGUGUUGCCAGCACGUCAUGGUGGGAACUCACGGGGGACCGCCGGGGUCAACUCGGAGGAAGGUGGGGAUGACGUCAAAUCAUCAUGCCCCUUACGUCCAGGGCUUCACGCAUGCUACAAUGGCCGGUACAGCGGGAUGCGACAUGGCGACAUGGAGCGGAUCCCUGAAAACCGGUCUCAGUUCGGAUUGGAGUCUGCAACCCGACUCCAUGAAGGCGGAGUCGCUAGUAAUCGCGGAUCANCAACNCCGCGGUGAAUGCGUUCCCGGGUCUUGU
rnacentral:rRNA from 1 species